CCUGUCAAGGCCCUAUUCCACUUAUGCUGCUCAAGUUUCAUGGGGCGACAGUAUGGUGUUAGGAGACACUGCAAGCUGUAGUGGCUAUGGUGUGAGAACAGACUACAGCAUGACAUUUAAGGCACUGUCACAGGCAGGGAAAGGAUCACAUCUGAACUACAAAUACAUACUCUAAUCUAGCAGACCUAAAACCAAUCCCUAGAUGACUGCUAGCUAGGGUAUAGUGCUCUUAGACCGUGAU